rnacentral:rRNA from 1 species
CUACGGGAGGCAGCAGUGGGGAAUCUUCCGCAAUGGGCGAAAGCCUGACCCAGCAACGCCGCGUGAAGGAAGAAGGUCUUCGGAUUGUAAACUUCUUUUAUGAGGGACGAAGGACGUGACGGUACCUCAUGAAUAAGCCACGGCUAACUACGUGCCAGCAGCCGCGGUAAU